CAGCAGCCGCGGUAAUACGUAGGUGGCAAGCGUUGUCCGGAAUUAUUGGGCGUAAAGGGCUCGCAGGCGGCUUCUUAAGUCUGAUGUGAAAGCCCCCGGCUCAACCGGGGAGGGUCAUUGGAAACUGGGAAACUUGAGUGCAGAAGAGGAGAGUGGAAUUCCGCGUGUAGCGGUGAAAUGCGUAGAGAUGUGGAGGAACACCAGUGGCGAAGGCGACUCUCUGGUCUGUAACUGACGCUGAGGAGCGAAAGCGUGGGGAGCGAACAGGAUUAGAUACCCGCGUAGUCCCUGUCUCUUAUAA
rnacentral:rRNA from 1 species